AAUCAACGCUGGCGGCGUGCCUAACACAUGCAAGUCGAACGAGAAAGUGGAGCAAUCCAUGAGUAAAGUGGCGACCGGGUGAGUAACACGUGACUAACCUACCCUGAAGUGGGGAAUAACCUCGGGAAACCGGGGCUAAUACCGCAUAAUAUCGCGAGCUGUAAACGCUUGUGAUCAAAGGAGCAAUUCGCUUUAGGAGGGGGUCGCGGCUGAUUAGCUAGUUGGUGAGGUAACGGCUCACAAAGGACAAAGAAUCAGUAUCCGGCCUGAGAGGGCGGCACGGACACACUGGAACUGAAACACGGUCCAGACUCCUACGGGAGGCAGCAGUGGGGAAGUUUUGUCGCAAUGGGGGAAACCCGUACGACGCAGCAACGCCGCGUGGAGGAUGAAGUCCCUUGGGAUGUAAACUCCUUUCGUANCGGGACGAUUAUGACGGUACCGGAAGAAGAAGC
rnacentral:rRNA from 1 species